rnacentral:rRNA from 1 species
UACGAAGGGUGCAAGCGUUACUCGGAAUUACUGGGCGUAAAGCGUGCGUAGGUGGUGAGUUAAGUCUGUCGUGAAAGCCCCGGGCUCAACCUGGGAAUGGCGAUGGAUACUGGCUCGCUAGAGUGCGGUAGGAGGGUGGUGGAAUUCCCGGUGUAGCAGUGAAAUGCGUAGAGAUCGGGAGGAACAUCAGUUGCGAAGGCGGCCACCUGGACCAGCACUGACACUGGAGGCACGGAAAGCGUGGGGAGCAAACACGG